AUGGCCGCCACGCACCACCGCCCCCUCCACGCCCUCCUCGGCGGCGGCGCAGUCGCCGACCUGCUCCUCUGGAGGCGGAGGAACACCUCCGCGGCAGCCGUUGCGGGCGCCACGCUCUUCUGGUUCCUCUUCGAGCGCGCCGUGUACAGCCUCGCGUCGGUCCUCUCCAACGCCGUCCUCCUCCUCGUCGACAUCCUCUUCUUCUGGGCCAAGUCCGCCUCGCUGCUCAACAGGGUUCUGGUGGCGAUGCCGACGGUCGUCGAGAGGUUCGUGGACUGGACGGUGUCGUGGCUGCCGAUGUACGAAGAGGCGAAGCUGCUGCUCGUCAUCUACCUCUGGCACCCCAGCACACGGGGUGCGGGGCACGUGUACGAUGGCUUCCUCCAUCCGCUGGUGGCGUGGCACGAGGCCGACAUCGACCGGGGCCUGCUUGAGCUGAGGGCGAGGGCGAAGGACGUGACGGCGUCACAACUCAAGGCGGCGGCUGUCAUCGGUCAAGUGUGGCUCGGCGAGGCUGCCCGCUGUGUUUCGUCGCAGCUGCAGGCCGCGAGAUCAGGCCGGGAAGGUGCCACGCAUUGA
rnacentral:rRNA from 1 species